UACGUAGGGGGCUAGCGUUGUCCGGAAUCAUUGGGCGUAAAGCGCGUGUAGGCGGUCCGGUAAGUCCGCUGUGAAAGUCGAGGGCUCAACCCUCGAAUGCCGGUGGAUACUGUCGGGCUAGAGUGCGGAAGAGGCGAGUGGAAUUCCUGGUGUAGCGGUGAAAUGCGCAGAUAUGUGGAGGAACACCGAUGGCGAAGGCAGCCCCCUGGGAUGUGACUGACGCUCAUGUACGAAAGCGUGGGGAGCAAACAGG
rnacentral:rRNA from 1 species